rnacentral:ncRNA from 1 species
AUAGUUUUAUUUAAAUUAAAUAAUUUAGUUAAAUAAAAUUUUACAUAUAAAAAUUUUUGUAAAAAAUAAAUUUUAAAUAAAUAAAAUGAAAAUUAAUAUUUUAUAUUUAGUAGUAAUUAAUAUUAUUAUUUUAAUUUAAGUUAAAAUGUAGUUAUUAUUUUUAAAAUAUUGAUUAAAUUUGUGCCAGCAGUCGCGGUUAUACAAAUAUUAUAAUUAAAUUUGUUUAAUAUAAAGUUAAAAUUAUAUAAUUAUAAAUAAAAUUUAUAAAUAAAUAUUUAAGAAUAAAAAUAAAUUUUUAAGUGAAAUUUAAAAUUUUAAUAAAAUUUUUAAAUUAAAAAUUUUUGAAUCUUUGAAAAUUUAAAUAAAAACUAGGAUUAGAUACCCUAUUAUUUAAAUAGUAAUAAAAAUAAAAAUUAAGGUAGUAAAAAUUAAAUUUUUAAAACUUAAAAAAUUUGGCGGUAUUUUAUUCUGUUUAGAGGAAUUUGUUCUAUAAUCGAUAAUCCACGAAUACUUUACUUUUUUUUGUUUUCAGUUUAUAUAUCGUUGUCAUCAGAAUAUUUUAAAAGAAUAAAAAAUUUUCUAAAUUUUAAAUUAAAAAUUAUGUCAAAUCAAGGUGUAAUUUAUAAAAAAGAAGAAAUGAGUUACAAUAAAAAUUAUUUAAAAAUGAAAAAAAUUAUUAAAAUAAAAUUAGAAAGUGGAUUUAAAAGUAAAUUAAUUUAUAAAAAUUAAUUGAUUAAAGUUUUAAAAUAUGCACAUAUCGCCCGUCGCUCUCGUUAUAAAUUUUUAAAUGAGAUAAGUCGUAACAUAGUAGAUAUAUUGGAAAAUGUAUCUAGAAAUA